UACGUAGGGGGCAAGCGUUAUCCGGAUUUACUGGGUGUAAAGGGAGCGUAGACGGUAAUGUAAGUCUGAUGUGAAAGCCCAGGGCUCAACCCUGGGACUGCUUUUGAAACUGCCGGGCUGGAGUGCAGGAGAGGUAAGCGGAAUUCCUAGUGUAGCGGUGAAAUGCGUAGAUAUUAGGAGGAACACCAGUGGCGAAGGCGGCCUGCUGGACGAUGACUGACGUUGAGGCUCGAAAGCGUGGGGAGCAAACAGG
rnacentral:rRNA from 1 species